UACGUAGGGUGCGAGCGUUGUCCGGAAUUAUUGGGCGUAAAGAGCUUGUAGGCGGUUUGUCGCGUCUGCUGUGAAAAUCCGGGGCUCAACCCCGGACUUGCAGUGGGUACGGGCAGACUAGAGUGUGGUAGGGGAGACUGGAAUUCCUGGUGUAGCGGUGAAAUGCGCAGAUAUCAGGAGGAACACCGAUGGCGAAGGCAGGUCUCUGGGCCACUACUGACGCUGAGGAGCGAAAGCGUGGGUAGCGAACAGG
rnacentral:rRNA from 1 species